rnacentral:tRNA from 1 species
GGCCCGUUGGUCAAGCGGUUAAGACACGGCCCUUUCACGGCUGUAACAGGGGUUCGAUUCCCCUACGGGUCACCA